GACGAACGCUGGCGGCGUGCUUAACACAUGCAAGUCGAACGGAAAGGCCCUGCUUUUGUGGGGUGCUCGAGUGGCGAACGGGUGAGUAACACGUGAGUAACCUGCCCUUGACUUUGGGAUAACUUCAGGAAACUGGGGCUAAUACCGGAUAGGAGCUCCUGCUGCAUGGUGGGGGUUGGAAAGUUUCGGCGGUUGGGGAUGGACUCGCGGCUUAUCAGCUUGUUGGUGGGGUAGUGGCUUACCAAGGCUUUGACGGGUAGCCGGCCUGAGUGGGUGACCGGCCACAUUGGGACUGAGAUACGGCCCAGACUCCUACGGGAGGCAGCAGUGGGGAAUAUUGCACAAUGGGCGGAAGCCUGAUGCAGCAACGCCGCGUGCGGGAUGACGGCCUUCAGGUUGUAAACCGCUUUCGCCUGUGACGAAGCGUGAGUGACGGUAAUGGGUAAAGAAGCACCGGCUAACUACGUG
rnacentral:rRNA from 1 species